CAGUAGCCGCGGUAAUGCGUAGGGUGCAAGCGUUAAUCGGAAUUACUGGGCGUAAAGCGUGCGCAGGCGGUUCGUUAAGACAGAUGUGAAAUCCCCGGGCUUAACCUGGGAACUGCAUUUGUGACUGGCGGGCUAGAGUAUGGCAGAGGGGGGUAGAAUUCCACGUGUAGCAGUGAAAUGCGUAGGGAUGUGGAGAAAUACCGAUGGCGAAGGCAGCCCCCUGGGCCAAUACUGACGCUCAUGCACGAAAGCGUGGGGAGCAAACAGGAUUAGAUACCCGUGUAGUCCCUGUCUCUUAUAA
rnacentral:rRNA from 1 species